AUUGAACGCUGGCGGUAUGCUUAAGACAUGCAAGUCGAACGGUAACAGGUUAAGCUGACGAGUGGCGGACGAGUGAGUAACGCGUGGGAAUCCUACCUUGUAGUGGGGGAUAAGCCAGGGAAACUUGGACUAAUACCGCAUACGCCCUAAGGGGAAAGGCGCAAGUCGCUAUAAGAUGAGCCCGCGUCUGAUUAGGUAGUUGGUGGGGUAAAGGCCUACCAAGCCGACGAUCAGUAGCUGGUCUGAGAGGAUGAUCAGCCACGUCGGGACUGAGACACGGCCCGGACUCCUACGGGAGGCAGCAGUCGGGAAUAUUGGACAAUGGGGGAAACCCUGAUCCAGCAAUACCGCGUGUGUGAAGAAGGCCUGCGGGUUGUAAAGCACUUUCAGUUGGGAAGAUAAUGACGUUACCAACAGAAGAAGCACCGGCUAACUCCGUG
rnacentral:rRNA from 1 species